rnacentral:rRNA from 1 species
UGCCAGCAGCCGCGGUAAUACGUAGGUGGCGAGCAUUAUUCGGAAUUACUGGGCGUAAAGGGUCCGCAGGUGGUUUACUAAGUCAGAUGUGAAAUUUCAGUGCUUAACACUGAACCUGCAUUUGAAACUGGUAGACUAGAGUAUGUGAGAGGUAAGCGGAAUUUGUGGUGUAGCGGUGGAAUGCGUAGAUAUCACAAGGAAGACCAAAGGCGAAGGCAGCUUAUUGGCACAAUACUGACACUCAUGGACGAAGGCUAAGGUAGCGAAAAGGAUUAGAUA